rnacentral:tRNA from 1 species
GCCCCUGUGAUGAAACAGGUAAACAUAUCUCGCUUAAACCGAGAGUUUUGCAGGUUCAAAUCCUGUCAGGGGUA